GACGAACGCUGGCGGCGUGCUUAACACAUGCAAGUCGAACGGAAAGGCCCUGCUUUUGUGGGGUGCUCGAGUGGCGAACGGGUGAGUAACACGUGAGUAACCUGCCCUUGACUUUGGGAUAACUUCAGGAAACUGGGGCUAAUACCGGAUAGGAGCUCCUGCUGCAUGGUGGGGGUUGGAAAGUUUCGGCGGUUGGGGAUGGACUCGCGGCUUAUCAGCUUGUUGGUGGGGUAGUGGCUUACCAAGGCUUUGACGGGUAGCCGGCCGGAGAGGGUGACCGGCCACAUUGGGACUGAGAUACGGCCCAGACUCCUACGGGAGGCAGCAGUGGGGAAUAUUGCACAAUGGGCGGAAGCCUGAUGCAGCAACGCCGCGUGCGGGAUGACGGCCUUCGGGUUGUAAACCGCUUUCGCCUGUGACGAAGCGUGAGUGACGGUAAUGGGUAAAGAAGCACCGGCUAACUACGUGCCAGCAGCCGCGGUAAAAC
rnacentral:rRNA from 1 species